rnacentral:rRNA from 1 species
AUUCCAGCUCCAAUAGCGUAUAUUAAAGUUGUUGCAGUUAAAAAGCUCGUAGUUGAACUUCUGGCUAUUCUUCCAGCUGGCUUCGGUCACUGUAAGAGUGGUCAUCCGCUUGGGAACUACGUUCGAACUUCACUGUUCGGCGUAAGGAACAGGCAUUUUACUUAGAAAAAAUUAGAGUGUUCAAGGCAGGCUAUCGCCCUGAAUACACAAGCUUGGAAUAAUGAAAUAGGACUAUUUCCAUUUUAUUGGUUAUUGGAAUUAGUAAUGAUUAAUAGGGACAGUUGGGGACAUUAGUAUUUAAUUGUCAGAGGUGAAAUUCUUGGAUUUAUUAAAGACUAACUUAUGCGAAAGCAUUUGUCAAGGAUGUUUUCAUUA